rnacentral:rRNA from 1 species
CCUACGGGAGGCAGCAGUGGGGAAUUUUGGACAAUGGGCGCAAGCCUGAUCCAGCAAUGCCGCGUGAGUGAAGAAGGCCUUCGGGUUGUAAAGCUCUUUUGUCAGGGAAGAAAAGGUAGCUCCUAAUACGGGCUGCUCAUGACGGUACCUGAAGAAUAAGCACCGGCUAACUACGUGCCAGCAGCCGCGGUAAUACGUAGGGUGCAAGCGUUAAUCGGAAUUACUGGGCGUAAAGCGUGCGCAGGCGGUUAUAUAAGUCAGCUGUGAAAUCCCCGGGCUCAACCUGGGAACUGCAGUUGAGACUGUAUGGCUAGAGUGUGUCAGAGGGGGGUAGAAUUCCACGUGUAGCAGUGAAAUGCGUAGAUAUGUGGAGGAAUACCGAUGGCGAAGGCAGCCCCCUGGGAUAACACUGACGCUCAUGCACGAAAGCGUGGGGAGCAAACAGGAUUAGAUACCCUGGUAGUCCACGCCCUAAACGAUGUCUACUAGUUGUUGGGUCUUAAUUGACUUAGUAACGCAGCUAACGCGUGAAGUAGACCGCCUGGGGAGUACGGUCGCAAGNUUAAAACUCAAAUGAAUUGACGGCUGAGAGNGCGAGGACGACACGAGGGAGAGG